UAUAAACAUGAUAAUCUUCUGUGUUGCUGCUAAACUUGAGGGAGAUUCCUGCUUUAACUUUACGGUCCAACUUAUGCUCCCUUUCUGCUAAUAGGACUGUGAAAGUGUAGCAUAAAAAGUUGCAGCAAAAUCAAUUUUGCUCUGGCACUACACUGCAAUUACCUUUGCCGAGUAGAGCUUAUGUUGCAGAAAAGAGAAAACAGAAAUGACUUUCAGUGGUUGGAUGAAGUCCAGCCUAAAAAGUUCUGGGUCACCAUAUCAUUUGCUGUCUAAUAUCUGUCCUAAAGGAUGCAUCUUGUUGAUUUGAUGAAAAUGAUUUUGAAGAGACUGAGUGUUCACUCUCUUUCAAAGUACCUCAUAGUUUUCCAUGCUUCAUAAGCCAUUAAAGGCAUUGAACCAAUGACCACUCCAACCAUGGAGAAAUCAGAUAAAACUUUACAUAUGUUGCAUCAACUUUGGCGAGUCCUUUGGCUGUGAAUGUCCCUAUAGUAGCAUGCCACUGCUAUGAAUAACAGAGUUGCAUUGGCUGUGACGAACCACGAGAAGUGAUCAGCCACGACCCACAAGAUGGCUUCGAAAGCAAUCACAGUGGAACAGAUCAGGAGAGUAGCAGUCACCCAGCUGGGAUUGGGUGUUCUUGAAGCAAUGAGAGAGCAGAACUUAGCAAUGUGGUAAACCAACAUUGCUAACAGGUGCUCUUUGUAGGGAUUAACAGGUAAAACUUCACGCAAAAUUGCAGUUGCAUCUUCAACCAAAUUGACUAGAUUUUGCAAGCUGCAAGAUCAGGAUACACUACUAUGAUUAGCGAGUGAUAACCGUGUCUGAGUUUUGAUUUUGGAUGAAAUCAAGUAUA